AACGAACGCUGGCGGCAUGCCUAACACAUGCAAGUCGAACGAAGGCUUCGGCCUUAGUGGCGCACGGGUGCGUAACGCGUAGGAAUCUGCCCCUCGGUUCGGAAUAACAGUUAGAAAUGACUGCUAAUACCGGAUGAUGACUUCGGUCCAAAGAUUUAUCGCCGAGGGAUGAGCCCGCGUAAGAUUAGGUAGUUGGUGGGGUAAAGGCCCACCAAGCCGACGAUCUUUAGCUGGUCUGAGAGGAUGAUCAGCCACACUGGGACUGAGACACGGCCCAGACUCCUACGGGAGGCAGCAGUGGGGAAUAUUGGACAAUGGGCGAAAGCCUGAUCCAGCAAUGCCGCGUGAGUGAUGAAGGCCUUAGGGCUGUAAAGCUCUUUUACCAGGGAUGAUAAUGACUGUACCUGGAGAAUAAGCUCCGGCUAACUCCGUGCCAGCAGCCGCCGUAA
rnacentral:rRNA from 1 species